GGAAUAAUUUCACAGUGAAGUCAUGUGAUCACAAGCACAAAACUAUUGUUAUUUUUAUUUCUUUUUACAUAUAUAAUUUGUAUUUCUUUUUUUUUUAUUAGUUUGAUUUUCUUUUUGGAAUUGUUAAUCUAUAUAAAAUGUUUAGGAACAACCGUUUACGUGAGUUACGUCGUGUGUUAGCGCUAGGGAAGGGCUGAUGUAAUUUCCUGUGCUCUCUCUCUUUCGCGGGAUGUCGUUGCGAUGAGAGGCACUGCUAGACCUGAUAUUCUUCUGUUACUACCUGCUGAUGUCUGUUAUACUUUGAUACAGGUAUGUAAAUGGAUCAUUAUAGUAUUGGUUUCUUUUCCUGUAUGUUUUUCUCUUGUAUAUUAUUAUUGUAUUUGUUUUUAUGAAUGUUACUGUAUGUUUUAAUGCUCUCUCUUGCGCGGGAUGUCGUUGCGAUGAGAGGCACUGCUAGACCUGAUAUUCUUCUGUUACUACCUGCUGAUGUCUGUUAUACUUUGAUACAGAAACGUCGCUGAGAGUAAACCACGUGACAACUGCAUCAUGGUGUGAAGUCUCUUUUAUUAUCAAAACACACAACGCAGAAGGAAACCCACUACACAUAUCUUAAAGAACACUUAACAUAUGUGAAGUUGCUCCAAAAUAAUACAUUUAUUAUGCUCUUAGUAUGGUAGUCCUAUAAUACAAAUCAAAGCACUGAUGUUACAACUGAAGUGUAUUUUUUACCUGGCAAUUAUCAAGAUGAUUUUUGUCACUUAGCGAUAAUAACAGAGAUUUUAACAUUUUAGAUGCCAGAAAUGGCUUUUAUUGUUGGAGUCAUAAUCUUUUUCAGCAGUAAACACCCGGUCACUCAGGCUACAGCAGACCGGGUGUAAAUUGUUAUUCUUGAAACACGUCGCCCUCGUGUUAUUUACCAGAAUAGAGACUUCUCUGAAACCCGCUCUUGAAACAAACAUGAAACAUCACAUUUUCGUCACAUCUGCACUCACAGUAGUCUGGUGUUUUCGAUUAAAUCAUUGCACAACAAAGCCGUAUUGAUCAACCUUAUCAGAAAGAACUAGUAUUUCCCUUUAUCACCCCAUAUCAAUAUGACUGUCAGACUGACACACACACAAAGGUUUAUCUAGUAAACGUUUAUCAAAUUGUAUUUUAAUGCAGUUUGAAUUCUUUCCCAGUGAGCUGGUGGUCUGUUUCAAGAAUGUGAUCAAUACUUCGGCUUUAUCACUGCAAAGAGUAAAUGCCUGAUCAUGGGGUUCAGGCUUAUUACCUUUGAAAAACCAAAGCAUAUGUUUGGAGGAACCACAUUCACAGGUGUUGACUUGUAUUCUAAGCAGUUUCAAUCGGACUUUAAAGUCAAAUGUUUACUGGCAAGGUUCACUUCUUUACAUCUUAACUGGUCAAUGGUUACUUAACUCUUUAACUGCCCCACCAAGAAAAAGGCAUUUGAAUUUUUUUUUGUUUGCAUUUCUUGUCUGCUUAUGUUGCUAGUUAUCAUACUCAAUGUUUUUUUUUUUUUUCAACACAUCCCAAAAAUUUAUACAAAUAAUGGAAUUCAUACACAUACUAUAAAAAUCUGAAAAUAUGAACUAUAAUACUAAUUUAUAAAAAAUAAAAAUAAAAUAGUUUUGUAUAUUGAAUCUUCUUUAUUUAUUGAAGUAUGCUAUAAAAUAUUUCAGGUUUUCAUGUUAACACAGGAAAUUAUACGUUUUCUUUUUUUUUUUUUUAAGUAAACAAAAAUAAAUAACAGAAAUAACUAAAAGUAACAAAACCAAAGGCAUUACAUUCUUUCAGCAUUCUUCAAAAAAAAAAAAAAAAAACAGCAAAAAAUAGUAAUAUAAUGGCAUUUGAAGUUUUUAUGAUUCAAGAAGCACGUUGUCAAGUGUGGUAGUGAAACAGGAUUUUAUUUUUUAUUUUGUAAAUAAAUGAACAUUUCUUUGUAAAAACAGGAAUGCUGUUCAGUGUAAUUCUUGAGCCAGGGGUAUCCUCUGGCUCCUUCAAGGAAACUGUUUUUAGAGUGUGUUUGCCUUUUCUUCUCUUCUAACAUGGAAGCUCAGUAGAGGAUGUGCCUGUUGAGGGAGCACCAUCUUGAUCCAGGGACUCAAAAGAACUGUCACCAGCUACCUCUUUUCGGAGGGGGUGAUAAUCCAGAUCCUUCUAUGGUUCUCAGACCUCUACAUGAAGUACCCCCAGCACUAAACAUUUUGUUUGUCUCCCUAUAUCUGACACACAGGUCAUGCAGUCUCCACUAAUGAGAUGAUGAGUUUAAUUAGGUGUGAUAGAUGAGGGAGACAUAAAAAAUGUGCCAGCCCUGGGUGUACACGACAGAUUUGAGAAUUUAUUGGGUCAUCAUCAUCAUUGAGAUCAGCAUCCGAGUCCUUGGCGGUUUUCUGGUACACGGGCCUGAAGUUCUUGUACCAUAGAAACGGUUGAAAUCCAUCUAGUAAUUGUAAAAGAAAACAACAACAAACAAAUAAAUAAUCUCUUGCAUUUUAAUAAUGUUAGUACAUCAGCAUUUGUCAUUUAAUUAGUAAUUGCCUCUGAUAAUUAUGAUUUGCACACAUUAAUUCAAUGAAUUCAUUAUAUUUACUUCAAAAAAAAUAUCCAAAAAGUGGCAGAAAACACACAUUUAAGAAAUUAUAUCAGUACUUUAAUGGAGAAGUAACAAGAGCUGUGUCAUAUUCAUGAAUAAUCAGAAGUUUAUAUUUCUCAGCCAAUUGUACAUUCUGACUCCAGAAACUGAUGAUCUGAAAACAUUAGCACAGCUUUUCUACAUUUACCAUAAAGUGUCAAAUCAACCGUUUGGUUGAGCAUGUUUUUUAAAAAUUAUUAAAAUCAUACAAAAGUUUUUCAUGGCACCAAGUAACAUAAUUUUGUAAAGUCAGGGCUGUUACAGUGUAAUAUGUUAAAAAAAUAUAUGCUUACGUUGAAAAAUUUCACCAAGAAGGACUGACAUGGAAGGGGUUUCUUUGUGUCUGACAUCCAUGUUAGAAGGAUUGUGACAAGUGCUGUUGAUUGACACUCUGACAUCUAGUGAAUUUUUUUGGCAUAACAUAAAUCAACCAGAUGGUAGAGAUGGCUCAAUCAGCUUGAGUCAAGUUACAGUAUGUGAUGAGCAUAACAGACUUAUUUCCAAACCAUUUAAAAGUCCUGCCGGCCCUAAAUUUUGAAUGGUACAAACAGGUACCAAACCACCCUUUCUCCCUCCAUCAUCUCUAGUCCAUGAAGGUUUGCAUAGAGCUUCCCGAUAAUCCCGGUCAAGGGCAGAAAAAGGAAGCAAAGUUUGGUAUUGUGUAACCCUCUGCCUGAAACAAAAUGACAUGUAUAGUGAAUUUUUUUAUUUUUUUAUUAUCAGUUUUUUGGGGCAAGGGGGUUAUGAAGUGUGUCAUUCGUGUACUUUUUUCAUACAUGUACCUCUGAAGUGUAAAACAAAUAGUGAAUUCCACUUGAUCCAUCAAAUAUCAAAAAAUGCUUCUUAGUGGUCAUAACUUGACAAUUUUUGUGUGAGUGUUACUGCAAAAUGCAUGUUGUAUAUACUUGUGACCUGUGAUCUCUCACUGUAACAAAGAGUCAGAGGCAUUCGGAUUCAUGUGCAGAACUGUAUUAAGAGAAUGGUAAGACAGGCACAAAUCAGGAAUGACAUCAGGUAUGUCAGGGAUAACCAGAAUCAUAUUCGGUAACGAGCAGAGGUCAGGGCAGGCAGCAGAGAAUCAGAGUCGGUUUGAACAAUCCAAGAUCAGACACAGGAAGAACAAACACAGGGAAAAUGCUCGGAAAUGCUAGACAAGACUUCGCAAAGCAUCUGUGUGUGAGUGCUGCUUAUAUGUGUGCAAAUGAGGUGCAGGUGUGGCAAGGAGAUUAGCUGAUGAAUGAGGUGCAGGUGUGGCAAAGUGAUAGUGAUGCAGUGACUCAUGGGAGAU